AUUGAACGCUGGCGGAAUGCUUUACACAUGCAAGUCGAACGGCAGCACGGACUUCGGUCUGGUGGCGAGUGGCGAACGGGUGAGUAAUACAUCGGAACGUGCCCAGUCGUGGGGGAUAACGUAGCGAAAGCUACGCUAAUACCGCAUACGAUCUAAGGAUGAAAGCGGGGGACCGUAAGGCCUCGCGCGAUUGGAGCGGCCGAUAUCAGAUUAGGUAGUUGGUGGGGUAAAGGCUCACCAAGCCGACGAUCUGUAGCUGGUCUGAGAGGACGACCAGCCACACUGGGACUGAGACACGGCCCAGACUCCUACGGGAGGCAGCAGUGGGGAAUUUUGGACAAUGGGCGAAAGCCUGAUCCAGCCACGCCGCGUGCAGGAUGAAGGCCUUCGGGUUGUAAACUGCUUUUGUACGGAACGAAAAGGUUUGGCCUAAUAAGCUGAGCUCAUGACGGUACCGUAAGAAUAAGCACCGGCUAACUACGUGCCAGCCGCCGCAGUAA
rnacentral:rRNA from 1 species